GACGAACGCUGGCGGCGUGCUUAACACAUGCAAGUCAGGGGGCCAGCAAUGGUCACCGGCGAACGGGUGCGGAACACGUGAGCGACCUGCCCUUGUCUGGGGGAUAGCCGGCCCAACGGCCGGGUAAUACCGCAUGGGUCCCGCGCUUGGAAGCGCGCGGACAAAGCCCGUAAGGGCGGACGAGGAGGGGCUCGCGGCCUAUCAGCUAGUUGGGGGGGUAACGGCCCACCAAGGCGACGACGGGUAGCUGGUCUGAGAGGAUGGCCAGCCACAUUGGGACUGAGAGACGGCCCAGACUCCUACGGGAGGCAGCAGUGGGGAAUCUUGCGCAAUGGGCGAAAGCCUGACGCAGCGACGCCGCGUGGAGGAUGAGGCCCUUCGGGGUGUAAACUCCUGUUGCUUGGGACGAAUGGCGGGGAUUGCCCCGUUUGACGGUACCGAGUGAGGAAGCACCGGCUAACUCUGUGCCAGCAGCCGCGGUAAUACAGAGGGUGCGAGCGUUGUCCGGAAUUACUGGGCGUAAAGGGCGCGUAGGCGGUCCUGUAACGCGUGCCGUGAAAGCCCGGGGCUCAACCCCGGGUCUGCGGUGCGAACGGGGGGACUGGAGCACAUCAGAGGCAGGCGGAAUUCCGGGUGUAGCGGUGGAAUGCGUAGAGAUCCGGAAGAACACCGGUGGCGAAGGCGGCCUGCUGGGAUGUGGCUGACGCUGAGGCGCGACAGCGUGGGGAGCAAACAGGAUUAGAUACCCUGGUAGUCCACGCCGUAAACGAUGGGCACUAGGUGCUUGGGGGAGCGACCCCCUGAGUGCCGGCGCUAACGCAUUAAGUGCCUC
rnacentral:rRNA from 1 species